CCCUUAGAUGUUCUGGGCUGCACGCGCGCUACACUGAAGCGUUCAACGAGUAUUUCACCUUGCCCGGGAGGGUUGGGUAAUCUUUUUAAAACGCUUCGUGAUGGGGAUAGAUUAUUGCAAUUAUUAAUCUUCAACGAGGAAUUCCUAGUAAGCGCGAGUCAUCAGCUCGUGCUGAUUACGUCCCUGCCCUUUGUACACACCGCCCGUCGCUCCUACCGAUUGGGUGUGCUGGUGAAAUGUUCGGAUCGGCCGUUUGUCGCGGUUUCCGCGUCAUGUGGCUGAGAAGUUCAUUAAACCCUCCCACCUAGAGGAAGGAGAAGUCGUAACA
rnacentral:rRNA from 1 species